rnacentral:rRNA from 1 species
AUCGGGAAUCUUGCACAAUGGACGAAAGUCUGAUGCAGCGACGCCGCGUGAAGGAUGAAGGUCUUCGGAUUGUAAACUUCUUUUACACAGUAGCAAGUUAUGAGCACUGUGGGAAUAAGGGACUCCUAACUUCGUGCCAGCAGGAGCGGUGAUACGAAGGUCCCAAGCGUUAUCCGGAUUUACUGGGCGUAAAGAGAUACGUAGGUGUCUUGUUAAGUUACUCGUCAAAGACCACAGCUUAACUGUGGGAAGGCAAGUAAUACUGGCAGGAUUGAGAGAGGUAGGGGAAGGAGGAACAUCCGGUGGAGCAGUAAAAUGCGUUGAUAUCGGAUGGAACACCAGCAGCGAAAGCGUCCUUCUGGCCCUUUUCUGACACUAAGGUUCGAAAGCGUGGGUAGCGAAACGGAUUAGAAACCCCGGUAGUCC